CGGCGGAUGGGUGAGUAAUGCCUAGGAAUCUGCCUUGGUAGUGGGGGACAACGUUUCGAAAGGAACGCUAAUACCGCAUACGUCCUACGGGAGAAAGCAGGGGACCUUCGGGCCUUGCGCUAUCAGAUGAGCCUAGGUCGGAUUAGCUAGUUGGUGAGGUAAUGGCUCACCAAGGCGACGAUCCGUAACUGGUCUGAGAGGAUGAUCAGUCACACUGGAACUGAGACACGGUCCAGACUCCUACGGGAGGCAGCAGUGGGGAAUAUUGGACAAUGGGCGAAAGCCUGAUCCAGCCAUGCCGCGUGUGUGAAGAAGGUCUUCGGAUUGUAAAGCACUUUAAGUUGGGAGGAAGGGCAGUCAGCGAAUACCUUGCUGUCUUGACGUUACCGACAGAAUAAGCACCGGCUAACUCUGUGCCAGCAGCCGCGGUAAUACAGAGGGUGCAAGCGUUAAUCGGAAUUACUGGGCGUAAAGCGCGCGUAGGUGGUUUGUUAAGUUGAAUGUGAAAUCCCCGGGCUCAACCUGGGAACUGCAUCCAAAACUGGCAAGCUAGAGUAGGGCAGAGGGUGGUGGAAUUUCCUGUGUAGCGGUGAAAUGCGUAGAUAUAGGAAGGAACACCAGUGGCGAAGGCGACCACCUGGGCUCAUACUGACACUGAGGUGCGAAAGCGUGNGGAGCAAACAGGAUUA
rnacentral:rRNA from 1 species